CCUACGGGGGGCAGCAGUGGGGAAUAUUGGGCAAUGGAGGAAACUCUGACCCAGCAAUGCCGCGUGAAGGAAGAAGGUCUUCGGAUUGUAAAGUUCUUUAGUCAGGGAAGAAUAACAUGACGGUACCAGAAGAAUAAGCUUCGGCUAACUACGUGCAAGCAGCCGCGGUAAUCCGGAGGGAGCAAGCGUUUGUCGGAAUGACUGGGUGUAAAGGGUGCGUAGGCGGUUAUACAAGGUAGAAGUGGAAUACCCCGGGCUUAACCCGGGUGCUGCUUCUAAAACUGUAAGACUUGAGUGCAGGAGAGGUUAGUGGAAUUCCUAGUGUAGCGGUGGAAUGCGUAGAUAUUAGGAGGAACACCAGAGGCGAAGGCGGCUAACUGGACUGCAACUGACGCUGAGGCACGAAAGUGUGGGGAGCAAACAGGAUUAGAUACCCGGGUAGUC
rnacentral:rRNA from 1 species